GAUGAAGAACGCAGCGAAAUGCGAUAGGUAAUGUGAAUUGCAGAAUUCAGUGAAUCAUCGAAUCUUUGAACGCACAUUGCGCCCUUUGGUAUUCCUUAGGGCAUGCCUGUUCGAGCGUCACUACACACCUUAUCACAAUAUUUGUGGUCUUGGCAGGAGUGAAUUGCUGGUCUAUGGAAGUAUUCCAGCAGUACACAAUGCUAAAAAAUAUGGGAAGGUUACCAGAUAUGAACAACAGACUUUGUAAAUGGUUGUAGGACCUAGAUCAGUCACAAGCCAUGUCUGGUCCCUUACCUUAAGGACCCCCAUCCUAGAUGAACUAUGGGUUGACCUCGGAUCAGGUAGGAAUACCCGCUGAACUUAAGCAUAUCAAUAAGCGGAGGA
rnacentral:misc_RNA from 1 species